AUUUCUUUUAUCUCGGCAACAAAAUAAAAUGCCACAUCAACAUGAUCAAAAAUAUAACAUUGAUUCAAGAGAACCAUCCACUAAAUUAAAGUGAAUAGUAAUAUAAACCACAGAAAUUAUAUAUUAUGUGAAUUCAGAAAUUAUUGGGAUGAUAUUUCUAAAUGCAGUGGUCUGAAAGAAAGUUCAUUGCAAUAAUCAAAAUCGCAUCUUAUUUUGGCAUUGCACAAGGUGAUGUGUUUCUUAUACUGUUUAUGGCGUCUUUUACUAAAUCCGUUGGAUGUAUACAGAUUGAAUUAAAAUCACAGUUUAAUUUUUUCAGUAAUUUUCUAUUUUACUACAACACAUACAGAAGUGUCAUUAAUAAAUCUCUAAAUAUUGUUGGCUGUAGAAUAUUUGCCAUUUAUUUACCAUUUUCUGAAUAUAAAUAUUCUUUACUUUUUUAUUUCAAAUACUGUAAAUUUCGAAAUUAUCAGUGGCAGAUACAGAACUUUUUAUAAUGAGGGGAGUGUCCAGUUAUGCAUCAGUGAUUCCCUAUAUAAUCAACCAAAUUUUUCCCACAAAAGGGGCCCCAAGCCCUCCAGGACCCCCAGUAUCCUCCUAUGAUUAUUGAGGUUUUCAUGAAUGCAAAUAAUGCGAUUGGGAAUGUAUAGCAAUGAAAAGAAUUUGAUUACGGAUAUCUGUUAUUAAAUCUAUUUGCAGAUUUUUCUGAAUUGUGAUACUAAGUCUCACUGUUUUGUCCAUUUUUCAAAAAUCACAAUAAAAAAUGCAUCCAAUAAUUUCUGAAUUAUACAUUAUUAUAACAUAUCAGAUGUGAAAUAAAACAUGAAUUUACCAAAUAAACAUGUAUAUAAUUGUAAGAUAUCAAACUAAUUUGCUCUUUCACUUAAUCUUGGAAUUUGAAGGUCCUGCCUUAAUAAAAAUUUACAAAACGUCUAGUAUAUUCUCUAGCUAUUCAAUCAUGAGGGUAAGUUAACUGGACUUGAGGGGUUAAUGAGUUGGACCUUAUGUAUUUCUUUUACCUUAGAAUAAAUAUUCUAUUUGACAAAAUAUCAUCUUUCCUUCAUGCAGAGCUGUUUUAAUAUCUUAUAAUGCCCUUUACUUGAAUUAGUAUGAGUUGCAUAAAAAAAACUACUUGGUAAUUUCUGGAGAAUAUUUUACAAGUAUUCAUAAAUGAUUGUCUAACAUACUGACACAUUUAUUAUAUUAUACAUAUUAAAUCUCUAAAUACAAGUUUUUAAUCAAUCAAAUUGAAACCAGUAUAUCCAAGGUUUUCAUUCUAAGAAUCUGAAGAGUACUUUGGAUCAUUUAAUUUCUUGGGUAUCAAAUUUUGGGGACUGAGGAAAAUUGUCAUUUUUCGUGGAUAUUUGAUUUCAUUGUUUUAUAAAUCUUCACAUACAGAGCCUAUUAAAAAUUUGUAAUCAUUGAACAUUUGAAUUUACAGUUCACCUGUACCCACGAAAAUUGGUAUCCAAUGAAAAAUAUUUAAUCCACAGUGGUCGUCAAAAAACCAAAAAUGACAAAAUAUUUUUUCUUUCAUUGAAGAAACAUUUUUGAAAAUACCUUGUUUUUACUGUCAACAUGCAAAAUUAAAAGGGGAAAACCUAACCAAUUGGAUCAAUUCCUUGUAGACAUUCAUUUGUAGGUCCUAAUUCAUAUUGAAUAAAAGAGGAUUGAAAAUAGUUGAAUGCAUGCAUCUUUUAUAUGAAAAAAAUCAUAAAAAUUAAAAGGUAUCAUACUGAUUGAUUGUUUGGUCCAGUGGCAUAUAUUUCACAAUAUUGAGGAUGACAGCAAAUUAUGAUUUCCCUCUUAUUGAAAUGUCAACCAAAAAUUGGAUCAAGAAGUGAAUUUAAGAUAUCUUUCAUUAGUUAUCUGUUUGAAAUAGAAAAUUGAUACUUGACCACUGAUUACAAUUAGACAUGAAAAUAACAUAAAAAUGGCAAAUAAUGAGCAAAAACAAUUUCUGCAACUUUAUGUAGACACCCGA
rnacentral:lncRNA from 1 species